GUGUGGUAUGCAAGCAGAGACAGUUAGCACCCCAAUACACACACACACACUUGACGAGGAUGGAAGAGGUCCUGGUGGCAUUGCAACUCAUACAUGUUUAAGGAAUUGCCACCUACAUCAUGGCAUUUCUAACCAUAAUAUUCU
rnacentral:ncRNA from 1 species